rnacentral:tRNA from 3 species
GGCGGGGUAGCUCAGUUGGUUAGAGCGUGGGACUCAUAAGCCCGAGGUCGUGGGUUCGAUUCCCACCCCCGCUACCA